AUGAUGGCGCACUUAAAAAGGAGCAUGUUAUGUCAGCACCGGUGAUAAGACAAUUUAUUACUGUCUACAAAAGGAAGGCUCUAAUGCCAUAGUAGAGGCUGGCUCAGCGGGCUGUAAAUUAUGAGCCAUUCUCUGGCUGGCGGAAAUAAAUCCUCUUGUCACUCACUGCGCUCUCCCCUUGACAGGCCAGCAGGCCGCCGGGAGCAGGCAGAGUCAGGAAUUCCAUGUCCAUGACCUGAGAGCCGCACCACUCUGCCUCCCGGGCCUCACCCCGCCCCAGACACACCCACACUUAAUGACAUCUCUGAUCACAUCUUUGGGACACAUGUCCUUUUUGACUUGAAAAAGUAACAACUGUGUGUGGCCUUCUCACAGGCUGAAAAGAAGCAGGGUCCAGUGGAGAAAGGUGAGCAAUGCGAAGGCCUGGCCCGAACACUAUGACUUCAGCAAGGCUUCCUCCACCCCGCUCAGCUGCUUUCCUGGUCGGAAAAGUAGAAUUGGACCGAGAGGGUGAGCUGACAGAGAGACAUCUAAGUAGGAGUCAACAGGCUUUCCAAGUUCUUGAGUCAGCUGAUGCCAUGGGUCUGUGAUGCACAGACGCUAUGUCCACUAGUUUAUGGCAGUAAUAUAGUCACCUGGGAUGGAUCUAAGGCCAAAUUUGCUGUAGCAAGAUCUGUGACUCCAAAGGAUUAAUAAUACUGAAUUAUUGCAGUGUGGACCCAAUAAGCAACCUGAAGCUGCAUCAUGGAAUUAAAGUGAGUUAGAGCCUGAGUAUAUUGCUCCUUGGGUGAUUCUAUCCUGCAAAUAAUACAUUA
rnacentral:lncRNA from 1 species